AUUGAACGCUGGCGGCAUGCUUUACACAUGCAAGUCGAACGGUAACAGGUUAAGCUGACGAGUGGCGAACGGGUGAGUAAUGCAUCGGAACGUGCCCGAUCGUGGGGGAUAACGCAGCGAAAGCUGCGCUAAUACCGCAUACGAUCUGAGGAUGAAAGCGGGGGACCGUAAGGCCUCGCGCGAUCGGAGCGGCCGAUGUCAGAUUAGGUAGUUGGUGGGGUAAAGGCUCACCAAGCCGACGAUCUGUAGCUGGUCUGAGAGGACGACCAGCCACACUGGGACUGAGACACGGCCCAGACUCCUACGGGAGGCAGCAGUGGGGAAUUUUGGACAAUGGGCGCAAGCCUGAUCCAGCAAUGCCGCGUGCAGGAAGAAGGCCUUUGGGUUGUAAACUGCUUUUGUACGGAGCGAAAAGGCUUUCUCUAAUACAGGAGGCUGAUGACGGUACCGUAGGAAUAAGCACCGGCUAACUACGUGCCAGCCGCCGCCGUAAUAC
rnacentral:rRNA from 1 species